rnacentral:rRNA from 1 species
AAUAUUCGACAAUGGGUGCAAGCCUGAUCCAGCCAUACCGCGUGGUUGAAGAAGGCCUUCGGGUUGUAAAGCCCUUUUGUUGGGAAAGCAAUCCAGCUGGCUAAUACCCGGUUGGGAUGACGGUACCCAAAGAUUAAGCACCGGCUAACUUCCAGCCCGCAUCCGCGGUAAUACUAAGGGUGCAAGCGUUACUCGGAAUUACUGGGCGUAAAGCGUGCGUAGGUGGUCGUUUAAGUCCGUUGUGAAAGCCCUGGGCUCAACCUGGGAACUGCAGUGGAUACUGGGCGACUAGAGUGUGGUAGAGGGUAGCGGAAUUCCUGGUGUAGCAGUGAAAUGCGUAGAGAUCAGGAGGAACAUCCAUGGCGAAGGCAGCUACCUGGACCAACACUGACACUGAGGCACGAAAGCGUGGGGAGCAAACAGG